rnacentral:tRNA from 1 species
AGAGGAUAGCUCAGUGGUAGAGCACGUGCUUAGCAUGUAUGAGGUCCUGGGUUCAAUCCCCGGUACCUCCU